CUCAAAGGGCAAGCAGGGUGGUUUAAGGAGUUCAAAGUGGUAAGCAGGCGUUGCUGAUUGGACGGUUGCUGCGUUUUGAAUCUCCCGCUCAUUUCCUGAUACGGAUUCAGUCAGUCGUCCUGGUCCGUCAACGCAAGGAGAUUCUGCACUUCUGUCGCACCAUUCAUCCAGGCCAUUUAUUGAUAUCAAGACACGCUGCCGAGGCCGACUCCAUCUGCCGAGAUUGACGUCACACACACAGAGCGAAAGCCGGUGACUCAGAGGAUGAGUCCUGUUAUUUCCAGUUUGGAAAAAAACGCAGGAUAAUAACCAAUAUUUAAUCAAAAAAAUCCUUUUGUGUGUGUGCCAAAGGUCACCUGCAGCUUCACUCAAGUUGUCGUGACAGACUCGCCGAUAUAGAUUUCAUGUCAGCAGUUGUUGCUGUGGUUGGAGUAAUUGGGGACUCUUGGACGAUGCAACCAGAAGAAUGAUGGGCUUCCUCAUGUCCAAUGAGUUGGCUCUGCAAUAUAACCUGUUUGGACGUCAUGGAGAGAAUAAAUUCUGCUAACUGCGUCUUUUUGAUGUCUUCUAUGGGGCAGUGAAGAAAAAAUGACAUCACCCAACCAGUCCCACUAAAGGAAGUGGAGAAGGGCCUCUCCAAAUGGUUUGUUGGAGCUCGUGACAGGGGAGGAAACCGAGCUAUAAGGACUCAAAGAGAGCUUGAAUAUCAAGCCGAUGGAGCUUGUUCUCAGGAACCGUCAAGGAUGCUAUGAGUAUUUUGUUUUACUGGAUUUAUUUAUUUUUUCGUCACAUAAUUGGCACACAUUAAGGUUGUUCAUAUUGUACUGUACCAAGUGAAGUAGUUCUUUAUUUUAUUAAGUAACUGUUGUAUGUUAGAUCCUGUGUGUUAUCUGUUAAACCUUUGGGUGACCUUGCCAUGGUCUUGUAUCUCGUUUUCACAAUGCAGGAUCAGGAUAAUUUAUUUUCUUUUAUUAAAUUGAAACAUUUUAAAAGCA